rnacentral:rRNA from 1 species
GGGGGUGCUAAUACCUAAUGUGCCCGGAGCGGGAAAGAUUUAUUUCGUUAAGAGCGGCCCGCGUCUGAUUACACUACUGGGUGAGGGAAAGGGUCACCAGAGGCAGACGCCACACGCACAUGGUGUGAGAGGAUGAUCCCACACACUNGGCGGUAGGACCGCAGCUCCGAAAUCUUGGCAGCAAUGCACGCAAUGCGGAAUCCAGCCCAACGCGGCGAACAGCAUGAAGCACCCAGGGUGGUGAAAUGAUGAAGGUGGAAGG